ACUGUCCCUGUGCCAGCAGAGAAGGGCUCUGUGGAGGCCAGGGGACCCACCUCCCCCGCCACCAGCCACACAGAGGUUGGAAACCAGCCCCCCAAAGUGACCGUGUUCAUCCCACCGCGAGACGCCUUCUCUGGCCCUGGCCCACGCAAGUCCAGUCUUAUCUGCCAGGCCACAGGCUUCAGCCCCAAGCAGAUCACAGUGUCCUGGCUACGAGAUGGACGGCCUGUGACGUCCGGCUUCACCACUGAAGAGGUGAGGGCAGAGGCCAGCGCCGAGUCCAAGCCCCGCACCUUCAGCAUCACCAGCCAGCUGACCAUCACCGAGCUCGAGUGGCUCAGGCAAAGCGUGUUCACCUGCCGUGUGGAUCACCAAGGACUCACGUUUGUGAAGAAUGUGUCAUCCAUGUGCAAUGCUGUUACGUCCACAGACAUCCAAGUCUUCACCACAGCCCCCUCCUUUGCCGACAUCUUCCUCAACAAGUUAGCCAGGCUGUCCUGCCUGGUCACAGACCUGGGCUCCUAUGAAAGCCUGAACAUCUCUUGGACACGCCAGAGCGGCGAGGCCCUGAGAACCGAGACCAAAAACUUCAACAGCCACCCGAACGGCACGUUCAGCGUCACGGGGGAGGCCAGCGUGUGUGUGGAAGACUGGGAGUCUGGGGAGAGGUUCACGUGCACCGUGACCCACGCGGACCUGCCCUCGCCGGUGAAGCAGACCAUCUUCAAGCACAGAGACGUGGCCAAGCACCCGCCCGCCGUGUACCUGCUGCCCCCAGCCCGGGAGCAGCUGGCCCUGCGGGAGUCAGCCACAAUCAGCUGCCUGGUGAAGGCCUUCUCUCCCCCGGACGUCUUUGUGAGGUGGCUUCACAGGGGGCGGCCCUUGUCCGAGGACAAGUACGUGACCAGCGCCCCGGUGCCUGAGCCCCAGGCCCCAGGCCUCUACUUCACCCACAGCCUCCUGACGGUGUCCGAGGAGGACUGGAACUCUGGGGAGACCUUCACCUGCGUUGUGGCUCACCAGGCCCUGCCAUACAUGGUGACGGAGAGGACCGUGGACAAGGCCUCCGAGGGAGAGGUGAGCGCCGAGGAGGAGGGCUUCGAGAACCUCUGGACCACGGCCUCCACCUUCAUCGUCCUCUUCCUCCUGAGCCUCUUCUACAGCACCACUGUGACCCUGUUCAAGGUGAAGUGACUUGUCCAGCGAAGGACACUGGAGACCAACGGGCUGGACCACAGGGCACCACCUCUGGGCUUGGGUGGCUCAGCCUGUGGCUGAUGGACCUGCACCUAACUCUUCCCCAUGUAUCCCUUCAGCUUUGAGCUGUAAAAUUGACUGGCCACAAAGGCCCUGGGGCCCGGCCUGUGGAAAGCCUGCUUACUUCUGUGCUGUGUGCAUAUGUGAGCCAAAAUAAACAGAUACUUUCUAUAAAACCA